rnacentral:rRNA from 1 species
CCUACGGGAGGCAGCAGUGAGGAAUAUUGGUCAAUGGCCGGAAGGCUGAACCAGCCAAGUCGCGUGAGGGACGACUGCUCUAUGGGUUGUAAACCUCUUUUAUAGGGGAGGAAAAGAUGCUACGUGUAGCAUGAUGCCUGUACCUGUAGAAUAAGGAUCGGCUAACUACGUGCCAGCUGCGGCGGUAAUACGGAGGAUGCGAGCGUUAUCCGGAUUUAUGGGGUUUAAAGGGUCCGUAGGCGGUUUGUUAAGUUAGUGGUAAAACGUCGGUGCUUCACAUUGAUUUGCCAUUAAUACUGUAAGACUCGAGUGCGGACGAGGUAGGCGGAAUACGUUAAGUAGCGGUGAAAUGAUUAGAUAUAACUUAGAACACUGAUAGCGAAGGCAGCUUACCGGACUGCGACUGACGCUGAAGCACGAGAGCGUGGGGAGCGAACAGGAUUAGAUACCCGUGUAGUC